rnacentral:rRNA from 1 species
GGGCCCGCACAAGCAGUGGAGUAUGUGGUUUAAUUCGAAGCAACGCGAAGAACCUUACCAGGACUUGACAUCCCUUGACAGCUUAAGAGAUUAAGCUUUUCUUCGGAACAAGGAGACAGGUGGUGCAUGGUUGUCGUCAGCUCGUGUCGUGAGAUGUUGGGUUAAGUCCCGCAACGAGCGCAACCCCUGUAGUUAGUUGCCAGCAUUAAGUUGGGCACUCUAGCUAGACUGCCGGUGACAAAUCGGAGGAAGGUGGGGACGACGUCAAAUCAUCAUGCCCCUUAUGUCCUGGGCUACACACGUACUACAAUGGCUAUCACAGAGGGAAGCAAGACCGUAAGGUGGAGCAAAUCCCCAAAGGUAGUCCCAGUUCAGAUUGUGGGCUGAAACCCGCCCACAUGAAGUCGGAAUUGCUAGUAAUGGCAGGUCAGCAUACUGCCGUGAAUACGUUCCCGGGCCUU